UUUCCGUAGGUGAACCUGCGGAAGGAUCAUUAUUGUACAAAAUGUGAGGGGCAUGUGAGGGAGGCCGCUGACCCCAAAGUCGCGCAAGUCCGAGUGGGCAGUCUUGCAUAAUAAUCCAUCUCACCCUUUGUGCAUAACCGCGUGGGUCCCCCUUUGGCUUGUUCGGAGGGGGGCUUACGUUUUCACACAAACUUUGUAUGCAGUGUAGAAUGUAUUUUUUGUUUUUGCGAUCACGCAAUCAAUACAACUUUCAACAACGGAUCUCUUGGCUCUC
rnacentral:misc_RNA from 1 species